rnacentral:rRNA from 1 species
AUUGAACGCUGGCGGCAGGCCUAACACAUGCAAGUCGAGCGGAUGAAGGGAGCUUGCUCCUGGAUUCAGCGGCGGACGGGUGAGUAAUGCCUAGGAAUCUGCCUGGUAGUGGGGGAUAACGUCCGGAAACGGGCGCUAAUACCGCAUACGUCCUGAGGGAGAAAGUGGGGGAUCUUCGGACCUCACGCUAUCAGAUGAGCCUAGGUCGGAUUAGCUAGUUGGUGGGGUAAAGGCCUACCAAGGCGACGAUCCGUAACUGGUCUGAGAGGAUGAUCAGUCACACUGGAACUGAGACACGGUCCAGACUCCUACGGGAGGCAGCAGUGGGGAAUAUUGGACAAUGGGCGACAGCCUGACCCAGCCAUGCCGCGUGUGUGAAGAAGGUCUUCGGAUUGUAAAGCACUUUAAGUUGGGAGGAAGGGCAGUAAGUUAAUACCUUGCUGUUUUGACGUUACCAACAGAAUAAGCACCGGCUAACUUCGUG